AUUCGAAAAUUGCUAAUUUUUAUAAAAUUACUAAAAACAACAAACUUAAGUAUUAUACCUGCUUUUAUAUUAUAACCUCAACAGUAGAUACGAGAAUCUCGACUGUCUAACGAAGUUUGUUAUCCUGAUUCUUUCACACAGUGUAAAAAUCAUAAAAAUUAAUUCUGGAGAUUCAGUAGAAUUAAUUUUUACAUUGCGCUUUUACAUUGCGCAAGAGAAUCAGAAUUACGAACUUCGUUAGAUAAUCGAAAUUCUUAAGUUUAUUAUUGAGGUUAUAAUAAAUACAGAAUAUAGGAAGUACAAAUUCCAAAUAUAUAAUAGUCAUUCUAUCGGUG
rnacentral:lncRNA from 13 species